rnacentral:tRNA from 1 species
GUGGAGAUGGCUCAGUAGGUAAGAGAGCUUGCUCUUGAAGCAUGAAGACCUGAGUUCAGAUCCCCAGUGCCCACU